CCUACGGGUGGCAGCAGUGGGGAAUAUUGCGCAAUGGGGGAAACCCUGACGCAGCAACGCCGCGUGAGUGAGGAAGUAUCUCGGUAUGUAAAGCUCUAUCAGCGGGGAAGAAGGAAGACGGUACCCGACUAAGAAGCCCCGGCUAACUACGUGCCAGCAGCCGCGGUAAUACGUAGGUGGCAAGCGUUGUCCGGAUUGACUGGGUGGAAAGGGCGUGUAGCCGGGCUGACAAGUCAGAUGUGAAAUCCGGGGGCUCAACCCCCGAACUGCAUUUGAAACUGUUGGUCUGGAGUAUCGGAGAGGCAGGCGGAAGUCCUAGUGUAGCGGUGAAAUGCGUAGAUAUUAGGAGGAACACCAGUGGCGAAGGCGGCCUGCUGGACGACAACUGACGGUGAGGCGCGAAAGCGUGGGGAGCAAACAGGAUUAGAUACCCCAGUAGUC
rnacentral:rRNA from 1 species